AUUGAACGCUGGCGGCAGGCCUAACACAUGCAAGUCGAACGAGUGGCGGACGGGUGAGAAAUGUCUGGGAAACUGCCGGAUGGAGGGGGAUAACUACUGGAAACGGUAGCUAAUACCGCAUACCAUCGGAUGUGCCCAGUUGGGAUUAGCUAGUAGGUGGGGUAAAGGCUCACCUAGGCGACGAGCCCUAUCUGGUCUGAGCGGAUGACCAGCCACACUGGAACUGAGACACGGUCCAGACUCCUACGGGAGGAAGCAGUGGGGAAUAUUGCACAAUGGGCGCAAGCCUGAUGCAGCCAUGCCGCGUGUAUGAAGAAGGCCUUCGGGUUGUAAAGUACUUUCAGCGGGGAGGCGUUACCCGCAGAAGAAGCACCGGCGAACUCCGUGCCAGCAGCCGCGGUAAUUC
rnacentral:rRNA from 1 species